rnacentral:lncRNA from 10 species
GUUAUGUAAGGUGAAAUGAGAAGAAAGAAAAUGGAGUAAGACUUUCCUGAAGGAGGGUGCCUAACCAAUGUAAGAAAACCACCUUGCAAUAGCCUGGCCUGGGGAAUGUACUGGAAGCCUGCGUAACCAGAGGCAAAGAAGCAGAAUGAGGUCACACUUCCUGUUGGGCUCACAUCAGUGGCAUUCACACUGAGGAGUGUGCUGAAGAUUUCAGAGAGUUUCCUGGGCCAGCAGCAGGGAAUGUGCAGCCCAUGUGUCAGGCCAGCUGGUUACACCCUGGUCACUGGAGGGGUGGUUUUCUGAGCUAACUUGUCACCUUUGGCUGCGAGAACGUGAGAAAGACUCAGCGAACUGACAUUUCUUGCUCAUCAUAUGGCCACAUUCAGUUAUAAGUAGUGCAGAGUAGUGAUCUUUGUCCAAAUCACUUAAAUUUAUUGAGGAUAAUGCACUGAUGCUAUUAAAUUCAGAAUACUAUUAAAUAGCAAGAGCUUGAUCUUAUGAAAAUUUCUAUAGAGGCAAUAGGUUUAUCUAAUGAAGGUUGGACUUCACAAAAAACUCUAUAGAUGGCAUUUUACAUUUACAUUAUAGUAGAGCUCAAAGACUUGAUGGUGUUUAUGGGUUCAUACACAUCUGUACUACUGUAAGUGAUAAAAGAAAUGUACAUUCAAAUAUAUAUUCCAGCAACAUUGAGGUACCACUGCAUAGUGGAAAGAGUGCGGAUUCUGGGGUCACAAGACAGAAAUUCAACCUGUCUACCAUCCUAGCUGUGUGACCUCAGAUUUGUGACUUACCCCUCUGAGUUGCAGUUUUCUCAAUUAUAAACAUAAAAAU